AUUGAACGCUGGCGGAAUGCUUUACACACGCAAGUCGAACGGCAGCACGGGGGCAACCCUGGUGGCGAGUGGCGAACGGGUGAGUAAUACAUCGGAACGUGCCCAGUCGUGGGGGAUGACGUAGCGAAAGUUACGCUAAUACCGCAUACGAUCUACGGAUGAAAGCGGGGGACCGUAAGGCCUCGCGCGAUUGGAGCGGCUGAUGUCAGAUUAGGGAGUUGGUGAGGUAAAGGCUCACCAAGCCGACGAUCUGUAGCUGGUCUGAGAGGACGACCAGCCACACUGGGACUGAGACACGGCCCAGACUCCUACGGGAGGCAGCAGUGGGGAAUUUUGGACAAUGGGCGCAAGCCUGAUCCAGCCAUUCCGCGUGCAGGGCGAAGGCCUUCGGGUUGUAAACUGCUUUUGUACGGAACGAAAAGGCUCUGGUUAAUACCUGGGGCUCAUGACGGUACCGUAAGAAUAAGCACCGGCUAACUACGUGCCAGCCGCCGCAGUAA
rnacentral:rRNA from 1 species